rfam:Triticum urartu cultivar G1812 contig519063, whole genome shotgun sequence.
CUAGCAUAUGACGAUAAGCAAGACAGGGACUCUGCAGCGGCCCCGGCCGCGAAUGAUGCAUUCGUCUAGGGGAAUCUCUGAUGCUAA